rnacentral:lncRNA from 1 species
UGACGUACCCCCGCCCUUGAAGCAGCUCUUUUACGCUCUGCUCGCCAGGCCUGCAGUGAACUCUGGGAAAAGGGGCAGUAUGCCAAGAAUGCCAUCAGUCCUUCACAUCGAUCAGAGCCCUGGAAGCCAGGAACAGGGGGAGACAUCAGAAGCAAGGAGAGGCUGAUUGCUACAGCUUCAGCGGGAAAGAAGAAUGAAUAUCUUGCAUCACAAUGACUGUGAUACAGCUGCAUUCAUCAGUCUGACAUUCCUGCCUUCUUAUAAUCAGAGACUCUGAUUAAACAAUCUAAUGUGCAUCCUUGAAGUGUUUC